rnacentral:rRNA from 1 species
AUUGAACGCUGGCGGCAUGCCUUACACAUGCAAGUCGAACGGUAACAGGUCUUCGGAUGCUGACAAGUGGCGAACGGGUGAGUAAUACAUCGGAACGUGCCCGAUCGUGGGGGAUAACGGAGCGAAAGCUUUGCCAAUACCGCAUACGAUCCACGGAUGACAGCAGGGGACCGCAAGGCCUUGCGCCGACGGAGCGGCCGGUGGCAGGUUAGGUAGUUGGUGGGAUAAAAGCUUACCAAGCCGACGAGUUGUAGCUGGUCUGAAAGGACGACCAGCCACACUGGGACUGAGACACGGCCCAGACUCCUACGGGAGGCAGCAGUGGGGAAUUUUGGACAAUGGGCGAAAGCCUGAUCCAGCCAUGCCGCGUGCAGGAUGAAGGCCUUCGGGUUGUAAACUGCUUUUGUACGGAACGAAAAGCCUCUUUCUAAUAAAGGGAGGUCAUGACGGUACCGUAAGAAUAAGCACCGGCUAACUACGUGCCAGCCGCCGCCGUAAGAC